GCAGGGCUGGCUUCAGCCAGGGCGGAGUUUAGAAUAUUCUGGAGAAUGCACACCUGGCCCAGCAGGCAGGCCAGGCUUCGUUCCAGGCUAAGCCCAUCUAGACUCUGAGGAGCGGGUUCUUUGGGUUCACCCUGAUAAGGGCAGAUUUGGGAGGGGGAGCAGGAUUUAAUGUGCUUUGGGAAGAAAGAGAACCAAGGAGAGGAGCAGCAGGGCUUGGCCAGGAGAAGCCAGGCUGUGCGGGGGGCAGGGGCUUCACUCAGGGCAAGUGACCAAAUUGUGAUGGUUUCUCUUCUGAGCUUCCCCAGAGAGGAGCUGGAGCCCCAGCCCACGCGGCAGGAGAGAUGAUGCCAGGACAGACACUUGCCUUGAAUUUCGUGGAAGGACCAGCCCCCCAAGGGAUUCCAGGGGAGCACUCCGCGAGGAGAGGCACGCGCGGAGCACCCGCGUCACUGAGCUGCUUCUACAUGGGGAUGCGGCCUGAUGCUGGACCACCUCUCCAGAAGCCAGACCUGCCCACAGAUGCCAGCCGGGAGAUGCCAAGAAGGCCCCUAGGCGUGCCACAAGGGACCGCUCCAGAUCUUUGUACAAAAGCUGUUCAUUUUAAUCCUGAGGACUUUAGUGAUUGUCACCAACCCUUGUGUAAAACACAACUGUUUUAGUUGUGGGGAUGAUGAUGAUGAUAACUACAUAUAUAGGGCAUUUUUUAUGUGCCUGACACUGUGCUAGAUACUUUUUAAAUAUUUUGUUUAGUUGUAGAUGGACACAAUACCUUUAUUUAUUUAUUUAUUUUUAUGUGGUGCUGAGGAUCGAACUCAGUGCCUCACACAUGACAGACAAGUGCUCUGCCACUGAGCCACAACCCCAGCCCCUGUGUUAGAUAUUUUAUAUGUUUAUACAUAUUAUCUUAUUUAAUCCUUAAAACUCCUUAAAAGAUAAAUCCUCUCUCAAGUCUAAGGAAUAGUGACAGACAGGGAGUAUAUGGGAACUCUGUACUUGCCUCUUGAUUCUGCUGAGAACAUUAAACCACUC
rnacentral:lncRNA from 1 species